GAUGAACGCUGGCGGCGUGCUUAACACAUGCAAGUCGAACGAUGAAGCCCAGCUUGCUGGGUGGAUUAGUGGCGAACGGGUGAGUAACACGUGAGUAACCUGCCCUUGACUCUGGGAUAAGCCUGGGAAACUGGGUCUAAUACUGGAUAUGACUUCUCAUCGCAUGGUGGGGGGUGGAAAGAUUUAUUGGUCUUGGAUGGACUCGCGGCCUAUCAGCCUGUUGGUGAGGUAAUGGCUCACCAAGGCGACGACGGGUAGCCGGCCUGAGAGGGUGACCGGCCACACUGGGACUGAGACACGGCCCAGACUCCUACGGGAGGCAGCAGCGGGAAUAUUGCACAAUGGGCGCAAGCCUGAUGCAGCGACGCCGCGUGAGGGAUGACGGCCUUCGGGUUGUAAACCUCUUUCAGUAGGGAAGAAGCGAGAGUGACGGUACCUGCAGAAGAAGCGCCGGCUAACUACGUG
rnacentral:rRNA from 1 species